rnacentral:rRNA from 1 species
AUUGAACGCUGGCGGCAGGCCUAACACAUGCAAGUCGAGCGAGCGGCGGAGGGGGGAGUAAUGUAUGGGGACUGCGCGCGAGAGGGGGAUCACAACUGGCAAAGGGAGCUAAUACCGCAUUCCAUAGGAUAACACAUAUGGGAUUAGAUAGAAGGUGAGGUAAUUGCUCACCUAGGCGACGAUCCCUAGCCGGUCUGAGAGGAUGAUCCGCCACACUGGGACUGAGACACGGCCCAGACUCCUACGGAGGCAGCAGUGGGGAAGAUUGCACAAUGGGCGCAAGCCUGAUGCAGCCAUGCCGCGUGUAUGAAGAAGGCCCUAGGGUUGUAAAGUACUUUCAGUCGGGAGGCGUUACCGACAGAAGAAGCACCGGCGAAAGAAGUGCCAGCCGCCGCGGUAAUUC